rnacentral:rRNA from 1 species
AUUGAACGCUGGCGGCAGGCUUAACACAUGCAAGUCGAGCGAGCGGCGGACGGGGGAGUAAUGUCUGGGAAACUUCCUGAUGGAGGGGGAUAACUACUGGAAACGGUAGCUAAUACCGCAUACCAUCAGAUGUGCCCAGAUGGGCUUAGCUAGUAGGUGGGGUAAUGGCUCACCUAGGCGACGAUCCCUAGUUGGUCUGAGAGGAUGACCACGCAGACUGGGACUGGGACACGGUCCAGGCUCCUACGGGAGGCAGCAGUGGGGAAUAUUGAACAAUGGGGGCAAGCCUGAUGCAGACAUGGCGCGUGUAUGAAGAAGGCCUGCGGGUUUUAAAGUACUUUCAGCGGGGAGGCGUUACCCGCAGAAGAAGCACCGGCUAACGCCGUGCCAGCAGCCGCGGUAAUUC